ACCAAUGGAGCAGAGCUUCGAGGAGAUGCUGCAGCCAUCAGUGAAGAGCUGCCCCGACUCUCCAUAGGGGCCCACCCGGAACUUGUAGGCCAGCGUGAUGCUGCCGACGGGCGGCGAGCCGGCGCUCACCACCACCUCCGUGAAGAGCCCUGAGUAGACGGCGAAGGCAAAGAUGGUGAGCAGCAGCAGCACGACCAGCACGGCGAUCAGCCCGAGCAGCAUCCAGUCGGACAUGAUGGAUGGGUGGUGCCUCAUCCGUCCUGCGUGCUGCGAGCCAGCCACGCUCGGCUAGGAGCUGCACAUGAUCAUUCCCCCACGCAGCCGCAGGCCCCACACCGCUGGGCCGGGCG
rnacentral:lncRNA from 1 species